rnacentral:tRNA from 3 species
UCCUCUGUAGUUCAGUCGGUAGAACGGCGGACUGUUAAUCCGUAUGUCACUGAUUCGAGUCCAGUCAGAGGAGCCA